rnacentral:sRNA from 1 species
UUUUUAUUUUCAAUCCAAAUUAGUUUGUAUAUUUUUUUGACAACGAAAAAAGUUCAGGUAGUUUUCUGGCAGAUUUUAAAUAGUUCGGGUUUUUUUGGGAAUAUUUCCU